GGGCCUUUGCGGGGAGCUUUCCAUGCAGUCGAACGGCAGCGCGGACUUCGGUCUGGCGGCGAGUGGCGAACGGGUGAGUAAUGUAUCGGAACGUGCCCAGUAGCGGGGGAUAACUACGCGAAAGCGUAGCUAAUACCGCAUACGCCCUAUGGGGGAAAGCGGGGGACCUUCGGGCCUCGCACUAUUGGAGCGGCCGAUAUCGGAUUAGCUAGUUGGUGGGGUAAAGGCCUACCAAGGCUGCGAUCCGUAGCUGGUUUGAGAGGACGACCAGCCACACUGGGACUGAGACACGGCCCAGACUCCUACGGGAGGCAGCAGUGGGGAAUUUUGGACAAUGGGGGCAACCCUGAUCCAGCCAUCCCGCGUGUGCGAUGAAGGCCUUCGGGUUGUAAAGCACUUUUGGCAGGAAAGAAACGGCUCUGGUUAAUACCUGGGGCAACUGACGGUACCUGCAGAAUAAGCACCGGCUAACUACGUGCCAGCAGCCGCGGUAAUACGUAGGGUGCAAGCGUUAAUCGGAAUUACUGGGCGUAAAGCGUGCGCAGGCGGUUCGGAAAGAAAGAUGUGAAAUCCCAGGGCUUAACCUUGGAACUGCAUUUUUAACUACCGGGCUAGAGUGUGUCAGAGGGAGGUGGAAUUCCGCGUGUAGCAGUGAAAUGCGUAGAGAUGCGGAGGAACACCGAUGGCGAAGGCAGCCUCCUGGGAUAACACUGACGCUCAUGCACGAAAGCGUGGGGAGCAAACAGGAUUAGAUACCCUGGUAGUCCACGCCCUAAACGAUGUCAACUAGCUGUUGGGGGCUUCGGCCCUUGGUAGCGCAGCUAACGCGUGAAGUUGACCGCCUGGGGAGUACGGUCGCAAGAUUAAAACUCAAAGGAAUUGACGGGGACCCGCACAAGCGGUGGAUGAUGUGGAUUAAUUCGAUGCAACGCGAAAAACCUUACCUACCCUUGACAUGUCUGGAAUGCCGAAAGAGAUUUGGCAGUGCUCGCAAGAAAAACCGGAAACACAGGUGCUUGCAUGGCUUGUCGUCCACCUCGUGUCCUUGAAGAUGUUGGGGUUAAGUCCCGCAACGAGCGCAACCCUUGUCAUUAGUUGCUACGAAAGGGCACUCUAAUGAGACUGCCGGUGACAAACCGGAGGAAGGUGGGGAUGACGUCAAGUCCUCAUGGCCCUUAUGGGUAGGGCUUCACACGUCAUACAAUGGUCGGGACAGAGGGCUGCCAACCCGCGAGGGGGAGCCAAUCCCAGAAACCCGAUCGUAGUCCGGAUCGCAGUCUGCAACUCGACUGCGUGAAGUCGGAAUCGCUAGUAAUCGCGGAUCAGCAUGUCGCGGUGAAUACGUUCCCGGGUCUUGUACACACCGCCCGUCACACCAUGGGAGUGGGUUUUACCAGAAGUAGUUAGCCUAACCGCAAGGGGGGCGAGAUCGACGUAGACCUGAUUUGCCC
rnacentral:rRNA from 1 species